UAGGGAAUAUUGGACAAUGGGUGAGAGCCUGAUCCAGCCAUGCCGCGUGCAGGAAGAAGGCGUUAUGCGUUGUAAACUGCUUUUUGCCAGGGGAUAAAAAGACCGUGCGCGGUUAAUUGAAGGUACCUGGUGAAUAAGCCACGGCUAACUACGUGCCAGCAGCCGCGGUAAUAUGUAGGUGGCAAGCGUUGUCCGGAUUUAUUGGGUUUAAAGGGUGCGUAGGUGGCCCUGUAAGUCAGUGGUGAAAUAUCUCAGCUUAACUGAGAGGGUGCCAUUGAUACUGCAGGGCUUGAGUACAGAUGAGGUAGGCGGAAUUGACGGUGUAGCGGUGAAAUGCGUAGAUAUCAAGAGGAACACCUGAGGUGAAGACGGGUUGCUGGGCUGACACUGACGCUGAGGCGCGAAAGCCAGGGGAGCAAACGGGAUUAGAUACCCAAGUAGUCCCUGAGCGGGCUGGCAAGGCGCAU
rnacentral:rRNA from 1 species